AUUGAACGCUGGCGGCAUGCUUUACACAUGCAAGUCGAACGGUAACGGGCCUUCGGGUGCUGACGAGAGGCGAACGGGUGAGUAAUGCAUCGGAACGUGCCCAGAGGUGGGGGAUAACGCAGCGAAAGCUGUGCUAAUACCGCAUGUGAUCUGAGGAUGAAAGCGGGGGACCAAGCAGCAAUGUUUGGCCUCGCGCCUCUGGAGCGGCCGAUGUCAGAUUAGGUAGUUGGUGGGGUAAAGGCCUACCAAGCCGACGAUCUGUAGCUGGUCUGAGAGGACGACCAGCCACACUGGGACUGAGACACGGCCCAGACUCCUACGGGAGGCAGCAGUGGGGAAUUUUGGACAAUGGGCGCAAGCCUGAUCCAGCAAUGCCGCGUGCGGGAAGAAGGCCUUCGGGUUGUAAACCGCUUUUGUACGGAACGAAAAGGCUCUGGCUAAUACCUGGGGCUGAUGACGGUACCGUAAGAAUAAGCACCGGCUAACUACGUG
rnacentral:rRNA from 1 species